rnacentral:rRNA from 1 species
GACGAACGCUGGCGGCGUGCUUAACACAUGCAAGUCGAGCGGGUAAGGCCCGUUUCGGGGGUACACGAGCGGCGAACGGGUGAGUAACACGUGGGUGACCUGCCCUCAGCUCUGGGAUAAGCCUGGGAAACCGGGUCUAAUACUGGAUAUGACUCCAUGACGCAUGUUGGUGGGGUGGAAAGCCUUGUGCGGCUGAGGAUGGGCCCGCGGCCUAUCAGCUUGUUGGUGGGGGAUGGCCUACC